rnacentral:rRNA from 1 species
UCUGAAUAUGGGGGGACCAUCCUCCAAGGCUAAAUACUCCUGACUGACCGAUAGUGAACCAGUACCGUGAGGGAAAGGCGAAAAGAACCCCGGCGAGGGGAGUGAAAAAGAACCUGAAACCGUGUACGUACAAGCAGUGGGAGCACAGGUUUACCUGUGUGACUGCGUACCUUUUGUAUAAUGGGUCAGCGACUUAUAUUCUGUAGCAAGGUUAACCGUAUAGGGGAGCCGGAGGGAAACCGAGUCUUAACCGGGCGUUAAGUUGCAGGGUAUAGACCCGAAACCCGGUGAUCUAGCCAUGGGCAGGUUGAAGGUUGGGUAACACUAACUGGAGGACCGAACCGACUAAUGUUGAAAAAUUAGCGGAUGACCUGUGGCUGGGGGUGAAAGGCCAAUCAAACCGGGAGAUAGCUGGUUCUCCCCGAAAGCUAUUUAGGUAGCGCCUCGUGAAUUCAUCUCCGGGGGUAGAGCACUGUUUCGGCUAGGGGGCCAUCCCGGCUUACCAACCCGAUGCAAACUGCGAAUACCGGAGAAUGUUAUCACGGGAGACACACGGCGGGUGCUAACGUCCGUCGUGAAGAGGGAAACAACCCAGACCGCCAGCUAAGGUCCCAAAGUCAUGGUUAAGUGGGAAACGAUGUGGGAAGGCCCAGACAGCCAGGAUGUUGGCUUAGAAGCAGCCAUCAUUUAAAGAAAGCGUAAUAGCUCACUGGUCGAGUCGGCCUGCGCGGAAGAUGUAACGGGGCUAAACCAUGCACCGAAGCUGCGGCAGCGACACUCAGGUGUUGUUGGGUAGGGGAGCGUUCUGUAAGCCUGUGAAGGUGGCCUGUGAGGGUUGCUGGAGGUAUCAGAAGUGCGAAUGCUGACAUAAGUAACGAUAAAGCGGGUGAAAAGCCCGCUCGCCGGAAGACCAAGGGUUCCUGUCCAACGUUAAUCGGGGCAGGGUGAGUCGACCCCUAAGGCGAGGCCGAAAGGCGUAGUCGAUGGGAAACGGGUUAAUAUUCCCGUACU